GACGAACGCUGGCGGCGUGCCUAAUACAUGCAAGUUGAGCGAUGAAGAUUGGUGCUUGCACCAAUUUGAAGAGCAGCGAACGGGUGAGUAACGCGUGGGGAAUCUGCCUUUGAGCGGGGGACAACAUUUGGAAACGAAUGCUAAUACCGCAUAACAACUUUAAACAUAAGUUUUAAGUUUGAAAGAUGCAGUUGCAUCACUCAAAGAUGAUCCCGCGUUGUAUUAGCUAGUUGGUGAGGUAAAGGCUCACCAAGGCGAUGAUACAUAGCCGACCUGAGAGGGUGAUCGGCCACAUUGGGACUGAGACACGGCCCAAACUCCUACGGGAGGCAGCAGUAGGGAAUCUUCGGCAAUGGACGAAAGUCUGACCGAGCAACGCCGCGUGAGUGAAGAAGGUUUUCGGAUCGUAAAACUCUGUUGGUAGAGAAGAACGUUGGUGAGAGUGGAAAGCUCAUCAAGUGACGGUAACUACCCAGAAAGGGACGGCUAACUACGUG
rnacentral:rRNA from 1 species